rnacentral:rRNA from 1 species
ACGCUGGCGGCGGCUUACACAUGCAAGUCGAACGAAGCCUUCGGGCUUAGUGGCGGACGGGUGAGUAACGCGUGGGAACGUGCCCUUUGCUACGGAAUAGUCCCGGGAAACUGGGUUUAAUACCGUAUAUUCUCUGCGGAGGAAAGAUUUAUCGGCAAAGGAUCGGCCCGCGUUGGAUUAGGUAGUUGGUGGGGUAAUGGCCUACCAAGCCCGCGAUCCAUAGCUGGUUUGAGAGGAUGAUCAGCCACACUGGGACUGAGACACGGCCCAGACUCCUACGGGAGGCAGCAGUGGGGAAUCUUAGACAAUGGGGGAAACCCUGAUCUAGCCAUGCCGCGUGAGCGAUGAAGGCCUUAGGGUUGUAAAGCUCUUUCGCUGGGGAAGAUAAUGACGGUACCCAGUAAAGAAGCCCCGGCUAACUCCGUGCCAGCAGCCGCGGUAAUACGGAGGGGGCUAGCGUUGUUCGGAAUUACUGGGCGUAAAGCGCGCGUAGGCGGAUUGGAAAGUUGGGGGUGAAAUCCCGGGGCUCAACCCCGGAACUGCCUCCAAAACUAUCAGUCUGGAGUUCGAGAGAGGUGAGUGGAAUUGCGAGUGUAGAGGUGAAAUUCGUAGAUAUUCGCAGGAACACCCAGUGGCGAAGGCGGCUCACUGGCUCGAUACUGGACGCUGAGGUGCGAAAGUGUGGGGAGCAAACAGGAUUAGAUACCCUGGUAGUCCACACCGUAAACGAUGAAUGCCAGACGUCGGCAAGCAUGCUUGUCGGUGUCACACCUAACGGAUUAAGCAUUCCGCCUGGGGGAG